rnacentral:tRNA from 5 species
GGUGGCGUGUCCGAGCGGCCGAAGGGUCCCGCCUCGAAAGCGGGUGAGGUGAAAGCCUCCGUGGGUUCAAAUCCCACCGCCACCGCCA